UCACCCCUCAAGCCUUGUGCUUGGUGUUGGACGGCCGGUCGAGCAAUCGACCCCUCCUAAAGACAAUGACGGCGGCCUGUGGUUCCCCCGGUACACUGAGCUUGUUACUGAGCACGUAUCGGACAAGGGCACCCGGGACCCGGUCCUCUCCUUUAACUAGGAAACUUCUAA
rnacentral:misc_RNA from 1 species